rnacentral:rRNA from 1 species
CCUACGGGAGGCAGCAGUGAGGAAUAUUGGUCAAUGGGCGAGAGCCUGAACCAGCCAAGCCGCGUGAAGGAUGACUGCCCUAUGGGUUGUAAACUUCUUUUAUAUGGGAAUAAAAUGUUCCACGUGUGGGAUUUUGUAUGUACCAUAAGAAUAAGGAUCGGCUAACUCCGUGCCAGCAGCCGCGGUAAUACGGAGGAUCCGAGCGUUAUCCGGAUUUAUUGGGUUUAAAGGGGGCGUAGGUGGAUUGUUAAGUCAGUUGUGAAAGUUUGGGGCUCAACCGCAAGAUUGCAGUUGAAACUGGCAGACUUGAGUACAGUAGAGGUGGGCGGAAUUCGUGGUGUAGCGGUGAAAUGCUUAGAUAUCACGAAGAACUCCGAUUGCGAAGGCAGUUCACUGGACUGCAACUGACACUGAGGCUCGAAAGUGUGGGUAUCAAACAGGAUUAGAUACCCGGGUAGUC